CAGAGGAUAGUUUAAAUGAAGAACGUUAGCUUUGGGAGCUGAUAGUGGGGGUUAAAAUCCCUUUUCUCUGA
rnacentral:tRNA from 1 species